rnacentral:rRNA from 1 species
UGGGAUUAGAUACCCCACUAUGCUUCGCCCUAAACAUUGAUAGUUUUAUACAACCACUAUCCGCCUGGAGACUACGAGCAACAGCUUAAAACCCAAAGGACUUGGCGGUGCUUUAGACCCACCUAGAGGAGCCUGUUCUAUAACCGAUAAUCCCCGUUUAACCUCACCUUUCCUAGUCAUUCCCGCCUAUAUACCGCCGUCGCCAGCUUACCCUGUGAAGGCCCCCUAGUAAGCAUAAUUGGUACAACCCAAAACGUCAGGUCGAGGUGUAGCGUAUGGAAAGGGAAGAAAUGGGCUACAUUCCCUAUUACAGCGAAUCACGGAUAAUAGUACUGAAACGUGUAUCUAGAAGGAGGAUUUAGCAGUAAGCGGAAAGCAGAGCGUCCCGCUGAAACCGGCCCUGAAGCGCGCACACACCGCCCGUCA